rnacentral:lncRNA from 1 species
CUCUUUUCUAGUUGCCAAGGGUCUUUCAACUCCAGGGAGAGUUCAGGUUAGUACAGAAACUUCAUAAAGAAUCAAACCUGAAAUAGUAUUAUUUUUGUCAAGAAAUUACAUAUGUUUUAUAUUUUACAGCAUUUUAACACUGAAAAGAAUUUGGCCAAUUGGAAGCCAUGGAGCACCCCACAUGAUGCCAACGGCGAGUGUCCAGCGAUCUCCCGCUCUUCGGCGAGUGUCCAGCGAUCUCCUGCUCUUUGGCCCUCUGUCUCCAUCUCUCUGGGCGGAGCUGGGGGAGGAACAACAGGAGGGGGCAGGCGUUGCUAUGGGAACUGGGCUGAGGUCCUUGCAGCAACCUUGAUCUACGGGUUUCAGGCCUGGGCAGGGGCGCAGAUGCUGGAUGCAGGUCCCUGCAGGGCCCUCGGCUUCGCCUCCUCUUACCUCAGUUUCCCCAUCUCUGCAAUGGCAGCACUUGGGCCAUUGUCAAGUCACCAAAGCCACCUGCAGGCGGGCUCCAGAGACGUGCUUCCCUCUCAGACCCCACUCCAGCCCUGACAGGAUACUGAUGGCGCCCAGCCAGAGGCUGGAAUGCUUCCUGCGUGGGGAAAUGUUGGGUUAAAUAUUGGGAUAUAUUGGGUGGAUAUAUUGUGUUAAAUAAAAUAUAUGAUUCAAAUUAG